UCCCUGGUGGUCUAGUGGUUAGGAU
rnacentral:piRNA from 10 species